UACGUAGGGUGCAAGCGUUGUCCGGAAUUAUUGGGCGUAAAGAGCUCGUAGGCGGUCUGUCACGUCGGCUGUGAAAACUCGGGGCUCAACCCCGAGCCUGCAGUCGAUACGGGCAGACUAGAGUCCGGCAGGGGAGACUGGAAUUCCUGGUGUAGCGGUGAAAUGCGCAGAUAUCAGGAGGAACACCGGUGGCGAAGGCGGGUCUCUGGGCCGGAACUGACGCUGAGGAGCGAAAGCGUGGGGAGCGAACAGG
rnacentral:rRNA from 1 species